GGCCGGUUAGCUCAGUUGGUUAGAGGGUGGUGCUGACAACACCAAGGCCACAGGUUCGAUUCCUGAACCAGCCA